UAUGGAUGAGAAAUGCGGAUAUG
rnacentral:piRNA from 1 species